UGAAUGCGUUAGUGAUGGCCAAUUCGCGAACGUAUCGUUCUUUUUAACUCGUUUUUUUAGUGAACAGGUUGAACCGAAUCGUAAGUCUGAACGAAUCGAUUUUUAAAAUUAUUUUAAAACGUUUUUAAAACUGAUCUUUGGCUACUCAACCUCCAAAAGCGUCCUCCGCGAUUUCGGAUUUAUUUUUCAUGUUCCGUCUGCGCUUGUCUUAUCACUUUUACGUUCAUUUAUGUUCGUCACUUACAUUAGUUACUUUUGCGUUCGUAGGCUUCCUUCUGGUGCCGAAAAAACCCGAACGGCCGUGAGACGCGGUUGCUGUAUAAGUGAAGGGAGAUACGGUCUCUAACAAGGUGACUUAAAAAAAAAAACAUGAUUAUGGAAAUCUUUGGAAACUUCUAUGGGGUUUUAUCCCAGCUACGUGACCUCAUUACCAACUUCCGGACCAGCUCCAGUCAUACUUCCAGAACUUGUCAAGGACGACUCAGUCUAGAGGCUCAUUCUAUCCAGCGGGAAACGGUUAGUGGCCUGGAGCUGCCCGAUCUGAGUCCUCCCUGCUGGUGGUGGCCCUCUCUCUCUGUGGUGUAGAUCACUUGGAUAUAGCCCACUGGGUGUGUGUGUGUGUGUGUGUGUGUGUGUGCACCUGAGUGUUCACGGAGACCCAGCCUGGAGUGAGUCUCUUGUCCAUCGAUUAAUUGAUGCCACUUCCUGAGUCCCCUAAGGUGAGUGUUUUUUUUUUUUGAUGUGUAUAUAAUUAU